rnacentral:rRNA from 1 species
UAAAGGAUUUGGCGGGGGAGCACCACAAGGGGUGAAGCCUGCGGUUCAAUUGGAGUCAACGCCAGAAAUCUUACCCGGAGAGACAGCAGAAUGAAGGUCAAGCUGAAGACUUUACCAGACAAGCUGAGAGGUGGUGCAUGGCCGUCGCCAGCUCGUGCUGUGAGAUGUCCUGUUAAGUCAGGUAACGAGCGAGAUCCCUGCCACUAGUUGCUAUCAUUGUUCUCAGGAAUAGUGGAGCGAAUUAGUGGGACUGCCGUUGUUAAAACGGAGGAAGGAGGGGGCCACGGCAGGUCAGUAUGCCCCGAAACUCUGGGGCCACACGCGGGCUGCAAUGGUAGUGACAAUGAGUUCCAAACUCGAAAGAGAGUGGCAAUCUCUAAACGCUACCACAGUUAUGACUGAGGGCUGUAACUCGCCCUCACGAAUAUGGAAUCCCUAGUAACCGCGUGUCAUUACCGCGCGGUGAAUACGUCCCUGCUCCUUGCACACACCGCCA